rnacentral:rRNA from 1 species
GACGAACGCUGGCGGCGUGCUUAACACAUGCAAGUCGAACGGAAAGGCCCUGCUUUUGUGGGGUUCUCGAGUGGCGAACGGGUGAGUAACACGUGAGUAACCUGCCCUUGACUUUGGGAUAACUUCAGGAAACUGGGGCUAAUACCGGAUAGGAGCUCCUGCUGCAUGGUGGGGGUUGGAAAGUUUCGGCGGUUGGGGAUGGACUCGCGGCUUAUCAGCUUGUUGGUGGGGUAGUGGCUUACCAAGGCUUUGACGGGUAGCCGGCCUGAGAGGGUGACCGGCCACAUUGGGACUGAGAUACGGCCCAGACUCCUACGGGCGGCAGCAGUGGGGAAUAUUGCACAAUGGGCGGAAGCCUGAUGCAGAAACGCCGCGUGCGGGAUGACGGCCUUCGGGUUGUGAACAGCUUUCGCCUGUGACGAAGCGUGCGUGACGGUAAUGGGUAAAGAAGCACCGGCUAACUACGUG